UUUGACCUGAAAUCAGGUAGGGCUACCCGCUGAACUUAAGCAUAUCAAUAAGCGGAGGAAAAGAAACUAACAAGGAUUCCCCUAGUAACGGCGAGUGAACCGGGAAGAGCUCAAAUUUGAAAUCUGGCGUGCUCAGUGCGUCCGAGUUGUAAUCUAUAGAGUCGUUUUCCGUGCCGGACUGUGUCCAAGUCCCUUGGAACAGGGUAUCAAAGAGGGUGAUAAUCCCGUACUUGACACAAUGACCGGUGCUCUGUGAUACGUCUUCUACGAGUCGAGUUGUUUGGGAAUGCAGCUCAAAAUGGGUGGUGAGUUCCAUCUAAAGCUAAAUAUUGGCGAGAGACCGAUAGCGAACAAGUACCGUGAGGGAAAGAUGAAAAGCACUUUGGAAAGAGAGUUAAACAGUACGUGAAAUUGUUAAAAGGGAAACGAUUGAAGUCAGUCGUGACUGAGAGGCUCAGCCGGUUCUGCCGGUGUAUUCCCCUCAGUCGGGUCAACAUCAGUUUUGUUCGGUGGAUAAGGGCAGUUGGAAGGUGGCACCCUCGGGUGUGUUAUAGCCAGCUGUCGCAUACAUCGGAUGAGACUGAGGAAUGCAGCUCGCCUUUAUGGCCGGGGUUCGCCCACGUUCGAGCUUAGGAUGUUGACAUAAUGGCUUUAAACGACCCGUCUUGAAACACGGACC
rnacentral:rRNA from 1 species